AACACAAUUUAUUAAGACACACACACAUACAAAAAUAAAAUAGUUAAUACAUGUUUAUGACUAAAUGUCAAUGCAUUGCACAAGACUUAAAUGCACAUUGGGCUGUGUCAUAUUCACUGUCAAAUGACCAAGGGGGAAAAAAAAACUGAAAACUGUACACACAAAUACAACAGAUAUCAGAAUGUACACUCUAAAGUUGUUGGAGUUUUACAAGUAUAAUUUAAUGCUGUCCAGGGAGGAAUUUAUAGCUUCCAGAAAAGGUAAUGAAAAACAUGGGCAGUUCAUCAAAUACUUCUCUCUUCACAUCUUCACCAAAAAUGAAGCAAACACGGAGAGAUGACUGAAUAGACAGAUAUAACAAGUUAACUACAGGCUACCUGGGACACUCUAACAAUCACUUAAGGAGUAAUUUAAAUGGCUGGCUCAAAUCUUGCACAAAUAGACUCCAGCAACACACUCUAACCAGAAUAGAGUUUAGCCUUGCAUGAAAGGUAAUAUGUCCUGGAAGACAGAAAUACUAAAUCUCAGAAGAAAACCAGAAAAAAAAAUUAGGUGAAUUUAUCUCCCCCAAAGAACUGAAGAAUUUUGGAUUAUAUUUUUUAGAAUGACAAAAUUUAAAAUAUACACUGACUAAUUGGCUCUUAGUCCUCCAAAAUAAUACAAAGAUUAUGUUGAUGUAGAAACUCGGAAUGGCUAUUAAGAAUCUGAGGAUCAUAACAACGCUCACACAUGGAAAUGUCAGAGUUUCAUAGACUUCUUUCUCCAGGAGGAUGCUGGCAUUUUCAAAUGAAGGAAGAAGGUCCCAGCACCUUCCCUGUUUGUGACAGCCUUCAUGUUGACUACUGACCUAGAACAGGGCUUUGCAAAUUUUUUCUGUAAAGAACCAGAUAGAAAAUCUUUUCAGCUUUGCAGGCCACACAGUCUCUGCUGUAACUACUUAAUCCUGCUGAUGUUGUGCCAAAGCAACCACAACAUAAAAAUGAAUGGGUGUGAUUGUGUCCCAACAAAACUUUGUUAGCAGACAGUGAAAUGUGAAUUUUAAAUAAUUUUCAAAAAAUCGUCUAUUAAAAAUUUUUUUGAGCCAUCUUAAAAAUGUAAAAACCAAUUUUAGCUCAAGGGGCAUAGGAAAGCAUGUGGGUUUGGCCUGUGGGCUGUAGUUUGCCAAUCCUGAUCUAGAGCAGUGGUUCUAAAACUUGAGUGGGCAUCAGAGUCCCCCAGAGGGUUUAUUAAAGCAUGGAAGGCCAGACCUACACCACCCCCACCCCAGAGUCUCUGAGCUGGAGGAUCUGGGAUAGGGCUCAAGAAAUAGCAUUUCUAAUGAGUUCCAAGGUGAUACUGAUGCUGCCAGUCUACACUUCGAGAAUCACUGGUCUAGAGGCAAGUAGGUAUGUUCUGAUCUGACCAAGCUUUAAAAGACAAACACAAGAGCGCCGGUAGCUGGUCCAUAUGUACUUGUAGAAAUUCAAAAUAGAGAGCUUUUCCUCAGCUUUCACAAUUACAGGGCUCAGAGGGGUACAAACAUGUCCAAAACACAGCUGCAUUCUCUUACCUGAAAUCCUUGGGAACAUGGGCAUCCCAGAGCUUAGAAUUAUUAGGUGGUAAGUAUAUAAUGCAUAUACCAUAUAGUAAGUAACACCCAGCACAAUAAGGGGCAGCAACCCAGUCACACGCAUUAAUGUUUCUAUGACCGAUCACAAUGAAGAGAAUAAACAAAAGAUUCUAAGUUAACUUCUCUCCAGUUCGGGUUACAAAAACUUGACAAAUGAGUUCCAAAAACUUGAUUUUUUUUAGUCCUAUUUUUAUUUCUAAAUUAUAGAUAAGAAACUAUGGAUCUAUAUUCUUAGAACUGGAAAUGUAUUUUUCUCUACUGUUUUUAUUUCUUACCUGUUUUAGAAUCUUUCAUCACUGAAUAAAAUUAAAUGGCUUAUAUAUGCGAACAACAACAAAUCAUGAAAAUAAAAACAUGGGCAAGGGUUGAGAAACUUAUCUCAAUCUGGGCAAGCUUUUGAUUUUCAGAAGUCCAUAAAAAUGAUGAGGCAUCAGAAAUAGAAACUGACAAAUCUCAGAGCUUAGAAAAUGAAACUGGGUAGAAAAAGUUCCACAUGGUUAGAUAUAGUACAAUGAAUUUAGUUGUCUCUUACCUCCAUCCCAAGUUUUCUUUUUAACCAAAAAUAAAUGUUUUCAAAAUUCCAUUUAUUCCUCUAGAAGAUGCUAAAUCUAAAAACCAUAACAACUUUGUUUUAGUAUAAUAAUUUAAGUUCAGCAGUUUUUGCCUCAAUUUGCAAAAAAAAGACAUUUAAAAGCAAAUUGACUUUUAAAAAAGGAAAUGGGUUUACAUUUACACUAUUGCUUGAAAAGAAGUACAACACAAUACAGUCAUUAACAAACCAACUUUUUACAUAUCUAGUGACUUUAAUUUUGUAAAAGAUGAUAAUAUGGUAUGGAUGUUCAUAUUUCCCUCCAAUUUUCUUUUACCUAUAAAGUUAUUCCCCCCCCAAAAAAAAAUUAUUCCCACACCUUUCCUACCACAGCCUCAGAGUUUUAGGAAAUCUUACAUAAAGACUGAAACAUGCCUUUUCAUUUGUCUUACUAAUGUGGGAAAGCCCCCUUAAUCCUUGACCUCUCAUUGCACCAAUCUACUUUUUUAGAUUUUCUGCAGUCAGACCACAUGUACCAAAGUAGAGCUUUCUUCCUCACACUUAUGAUUUUUUUAAACUGAUCAUUUAUACAUAAUAAUAUGAUUGCCACUUUUGCGAUAAUUAGAACCUCUACCAUGUCAUAUAAUUAUCAUUUCUUUGUAGUUGUUGGAAUAAUUAAGAUCUAGUUUCUUAGCAAGUCUGAUAUUAUAAUACAAUAUUAUUGUCUAUAUUCAUUAUAUCAUGCAAGGAUUCAAUUCCUGUAGGAGUUUGCUCAAUAAAUAUUUCAUGAAUUAAUGAAUAUAAUAAAGAAAUAGAAAUUCAUCCCAGUUCUACUGAUAAGGACUGAACAUUUUGAAGAAAUUUUUGCAAAGAAGUUUUGAAUACCACAGGCUAGCGUUAGAAUAGUACCUAAAUCACAAAUUCACUGUUGUAGGUUUCAUAAUCUCAUAUUUUUCCAUACACCCAGAAGUCCUUAUCCACAAAUACAUCCAUACAAUUGAGGCACCCAGAAAUUUCAAGUGGUUAGGAGGUCUAAUAUGCUCUUGAAUCUUGUUUUCUGAACAUCAAACUUAUUCUUCUGACAUGUCUAAAACACCGGAUCAGACAAGCCUAGGUAAUCUGUCCAUUGCAGCUAAAUGCCUCUUGUGUGAAACACUCCAAAGAAAGGCACCAGAAGAAAAAUGAUUUUGAUGACACACAAAAAGAUCUAACUCUAUUCUGCAAAGUUAAGUCCUUCACAGUACUAGGGUUCAGUCACUGAGAAUUUACCAUGUACCAGACUGUACAAAAUGCUGAGGACACAAAACUAAAUGUGACACAAUUCCUGUCCUCCAGUAGUGUACAGUUUAGCAGGGGAGAAUGGAUGUAACUAUUCUGAGUAUCAGAAAAAUGGGCUUGACACAAAUCACAAGAGAUUCAAGGUUGCUCAGUUUGGCUUUUUAAUCCUUAGGUCAGUGGAACAAAAGGGAGUCAUUAUUCACUCAGAGUAGCAGUUUCCAAACUUGCCUGAUCAUUUGAAUUACAUCAGCAGCCUUGUUAAAUAUAAAUUCCCACGGCUCUCUCCCAAAGAUUCUCAUUUGGUACAGUUGGGGUUGGCCCUCCACUUUAACUUAUUCAACCAGGCAAGUUUGGAAACAUGAAAGUUACAAUAUACAGAAACUCCCUUAAAUUAUUAGCAAAUGUCUAGAAGAAAAGGUUGACUUGCUAAAAUUUUCUUCUGGAAAGUUCUGUCCCAGCAAAAAGAGGGGGUAAAGGCUUGUCUUCUAGGCUUCAAAAAAGUGUCAUUUGGCAGUGUCCAGGAAGUCUGGAUCAUUGCCCACAAGGAAUACAGCUUCUUUUUUAAGAGGGUGAAAAGUGUUCUGAACAGAGCAAAAUGUUCAAACAUUUGACCCUCAGGUCGGGGGCCAGUGAUGAGUUUGAUCACAUCGAUAGCACAAUGUUUGAUAACCAAAUAAAAAACUACAUAACAGAAAACAUCUAUUACCUACCUAACCCAUAUGCUCCUCAAUUCUGAAUGCUUACACAAAGUGGUUACUAUAAAUUACCUUCAAUCAUUUCUGGAAAGAGGCAGAGCAUCCAAAUAUAGUAAAUAACCAGAGAGUGGCAAUUAUCGUUUUAAGGCAAAGGGCAACAUAUAAUGCAAAUGAACUGGACAAUAGUGACAGAUAUGGAUGAGAUGUUCCAAGGCAGGUUUCAAGUUUGCUAUAAUCCUGGCAAAGAACUAGUGAGGAGGGAGGGGAAAACAGGAAGGGGAAAUGGCCUAUCUACAAACAUGCCUCUCCCUGAUCUAUGUGAAAAUAUAUGGUAAACAAUACUAUGGGCAAAAGAAUUCAGAUUAAGAGCAAUUAGUCAUUAAGCCACAAAACAAGGUUGAUUCCUAAAACGACAGAAUCAUUUCUUUUUGAAAUUGUAACCCCACCCCCACCCAUUGCUAAAGACAAUAAGGUUAUCCUCUGGUGCUUGGCCAAAGGGCAAAUAACUGUAUACAAAGAAAUGGAUGGAUCUGUCAAGAAGUCAGAAUAUACUCUAGAGCAGACUUAAAACAAAGUCAUGCAAUGGAAAAGAACACUUUUAGUGAGUAUUUUUCAGUAGUUCUAAUAUCACCAACCAUCUCAAACGUCUCUUAAAUCAAUUCACCUUUGCAAAUCCACACUUAAUUGAUGAGAACGUUUGUUCAGACUUCAGAAUGUUGGCAAAAGUUGUGAGUUUUAGGCAAAAUAAGUACACAGUUUGAAAGCCCAGUGUGGAUGAAAAUCAUCAGCUUACCUAAAUUUCUGUCCAACUUACAUACAGCAUCCUCAAUUCAACGCACAAAACCCAUACAGAUGACAUCAUAGACAGGAUGUUAGUUUUUCAAACCUAAUCUAGUUUUUCAAACCUCUGUUAAGGCAGAAGUGUUUAAGUUUCAAGAGCAACAUGCCUUAGGACAUACCUCAGGUACACCCAUCAGGAAACAUUUUCUUGAGGGAUAGCAACUGGAAAAACUAUUCAAAUGUACAUUUAUAAAGACUCUCACAAUCUAAGGGAAAUAUUUUCCACUUUUUAAAAAGCACCCAGCAAGCAGUUCCACGUUGAAAAGGCCUCAAGGCAGUUCUAUAUUGACACUGCUAAUAUGAAUAUCCUUGGGUGACCAUUCAAGGAUUAUUGAUGGAAAAAAAAAAAUAAACCAACAAAACCAAGCACCUUCUACUGGUGGAUAAUUCUUUACCCCCUUGAAGUUGUGCAGGUUGAAAAUUGGCAGGUUCAAGACAGGUUUAGAUAAAUUCAAGGAUAUCCGAUGCCCAAUGGGCUUAAAGGGGAACCAGAUUUAUCCUUAACCUUUUGAGAUCAAACUUUAGGAAGCAGUGUGGAGUUGGGGCAAGAGGAUUAAGGACCUAGAGACUGGCAAACUAUCCUCUGCUCUACCUAUUAAUUAGGUAUAUGACCUUGAGCAAGUAAUCUCACCUCUCUGUGCCUCGGUUUAUUAUCUAUAAAAUGAGUGGGUUUGAAUUUUACCAUGAAAUCCCUUCCAGCUCUAAAAUUUGCUGAAACAAGUUCAUGGGCGGGGGCGGGGGCAAAUACAAUGUGUUCUGCAAACUGUUUCUUUGUAACAUUAGAGACCAUCAAGAAUUACACUGACCAGGCAACUCAACUCAAAUGAAUUCUGGGCCAACUCUUUGCGGUGGCUGGCGCACAGCGGACAGACUUCUUACUUGCAUUGCACUAUUUCUGUUUCCCAAGGGACUCAAACCUGUGACUCUCAUCUGGGGUUUGGAAGGUAAGCAGGUUAUAUGCUCACUUACAGAAGAACUGAGGCGCAGGGCUUGUGUCCUGCUUCAAGUCCCACAAAUCGAUAAAUGACAAAGUCUACUUGACCUCACUGCUCUAAAAAGGCGAACUGGGGGUGGCCGGGAGGUGGCACUGAACAAUAAACGUCAGCCAGCUCUUCUGUUAUCCCUGGACAGCCAACCCUCACAGGAAGAGGCCUCAAGCCGACUACCGGGCUCAGAUCCUUUGAAGGUCAGGUCGGCUCGGCUUGCGAAACUCACGGUUUGGAUCCCGCCAAUUCGGAAUUCACACGAUCGAUCGUUCAGGUGUGGGACACAGCGGGCCAGGAACGCUUCCGCAAGAGCAUGGUGGAGCACUAUUACCGCAACGUGCAUGCUGUGGUCUUUGUCUACGACGUCACGAAGAUGACAUCCUUCACCAACCUCAAAAUGUGGAUCCAAG